AUUGAACGCUGGCGGCAUGCCUUACACAUGCAAGUCGAACGGUAACAGGUCUUCGGAUGCUGACGAGUGGCGAACGGGUGAGUAAUACAUCGGAACGUGCCUAGUAGUGGGGGAUAACUACUCGAAAGAGUGGCUAAUACCGCAUGAGAUCUACGGAUGAAAGCAGGGGAUCGCAAGACCUUGUGCUACUAGAGCGGCCGAUGGCAGAUUAGGUAGUUGGUGGGAUAAAAGCUUACCAAGCCGACGAUCUGUAGCUGGUCUGAGAGGACGAUCAGCGACACGGGGGCUGAGACACGGCCAAGACUCCGGCGGGAGGGAGCAGUGGGGAAUGUUGGACAAUGGGGGCAAGCCUGUUGCAGCAAUGCCGCGUGCAGGAUGAAGGCCUUCGGGUUGUAAACUGCUUUUGUACGGAACGAAAAGCCCUGGGUUAAUACCCUGGGGUCAUGACGGUACCGUAAGAAUAAGCACCGGCUAACUACGUGCCAGCCGCCGCCGUAAGAC
rnacentral:rRNA from 1 species